UGGCCUCUGGGCUUGUUUUAGUCAUAGAACGAACCUCUCUCGAUUCCUCAUUCCAAUCACUGAGAAGCACCAUUUUAACAUUCACAAAGUCGAUGGAGACAGAGGAGAGGACUGCUAAAAGGAAAAAAGGCAUUUUGUUAUGGGAGAAAAGUGGAAGGCUUGUCAGCCUGAUUGUGCUACACCUGAACUGCCAUCAACAGGCUUCCUUCAACACUAAAAGCAAGCCAGUUAUUUCUGGCCUGCUUUUAGUUUCAUUGCUAGUCCUGGUUGGAACAGCUGGUUCUGCUUGUUCACAAAUCACCUGAAUGCGCUUUUGAUGACCUCCACA